rnacentral:rRNA from 1 species
GACGAACGCUGGCGGCGUGCUUAACACAUGCAAGUCGAACGGAAAGGCCCUGCUUGCAGGGUACUCGAGUGGCGAACGGGUGAGUAACACGUGGGUGAUCUGCCCUGCACUUCGGGAUAAGCUUGGGAAACUGGGUCUAAUACCGGAUAGGAACCAUCUUUAGUGUGGUGGUUGGAAAGUUUUUUCGGUGUAGGAUGAGCUCGCGGCCUAUCAGCUUGUUGGUGGGGCAAUGGCCUACCAAGGCGGCGACGGGUAGCCGGCCUGAGAGGGUGUACGGCCACAUUGGGACUGAGAUACGGCCCAGACUCCUACGGGAGGCAGCGGUGGGGAAUAUUGCACAAUGGGCGCAAGCCUGAUGCAGCGACGCCGCGUGGGGGAUGAAGGCCUUCGGGUUGUAAACUCCUUUCGCUAGGGACGAAGCUUUUUGUGACGGUACCUAGAUAAGAAGCACCGGCUAACUACGUG